rnacentral:rRNA from 1 species
GACGAACGCUGGCGGCGUGCCUAACACAUGCAAGUCGAACGAAGCUUGAUUUCUGAUUUUUUCGGAAUGACGAAUGAUAUGACUGAGUGGCGGACGGGUGAGUAACGCGUGAGCAACCUGCCCUUCGGAACGGGAUAGUGUCUGGAAACGGACAGUAAUACCGUAUAAUAUAUAUUGAUCGCAUGGUUGAUAUAUCAAAACUGAGGUGCCGAAGGAUGGGCUCGCGUCUGAUUAGAUAGUUGGUGGGGUAACGGCCUACCAAGUCGACGAUCAGUAGCCGGACUGAGAGGUUGAACGGCCACAUUGGGACUGAGACACGGCCCAGACUCCUACGGGAGGCAGCAGUGGGGAAUAUUGCACAAUGGGGGAAACCCUGAUGCAGCAACGCCGCGUGAAGGAAGACGGUUUUCGGAUUGUAAACUUCUGUUCUUAGUGAAGAAUAAUGACGGUAGCUAAGGAGCAAGC